GCGGCGAGUUAGCCGGCGGGCGGUGCGGGGGUGGCCGCGGUGGCCGCGGCUGCCUCGGGCGCCGGCGCCGCCUCUCCGCGCUGUUCCCCCGUUGCCCCCUUGGUACCCCCGGCUGCCGGGGACUGCCUCGCGCUCCAGAGCCCCUCUGAGGAGGAAAACGUCUGUCCCACCGACUGGCAGGGGAUGCUCCGUCAUCCCGUGCGAAGCCUGGUCCAAGGUAGGGCCGGCCGGCGUUCGGAGGCCUGUCCAGGUCUGGACAGAAGUGCCAGCCCGGGAUCUCCAGGUCUCUACGUCAACAUACUAAAGGUCCUCAUACUCCAGACUCCAGCAACAGCCAUCUAACUGGUCUCCGAAGCUCCACUUCUACCUCCCCAAUGUAUUCAGUAAUCCACAACCAGAUUAAUAAUAAAAUGCUGUUAAUACUA